rnacentral:rRNA from 1 species
AUUGAACGCUGGCGGCAGGCCUAACACAUGCAAGUCGAACGGUAGCACAGAGAGCUUGCUCUCGGGUGACGAGUGGCGGACGGGUGAGUAAUGUCUGGGAAACUGCCUGAUGGAGGGGGAUAACUACUGGAAACGGUAGCUAAUACCGCAUAAAGUCGCAAGACCAAAGAGGGGGACCUUCGGGCCUCUUGCCAUAGGACGUGGCCAGAUGGGAUUAGCUAGUAGGUGGGGUAACGGCGCGACUAGGCGACGAUCCCUAGCUGGUCUGAGAGGAUGACCAGCCACACUGGAACUGAGACACGGUCCAGACUCCUACGGGAGGCAGCAGUGGGGAAUAUUGCACAAUGGGCGCAAGCCUGAUGCAGCCAUGCCGCGUGUAUGAAGAAGGCCUUCGGGUUGUAAAGUACUUUCAGCGGGGAGGAAGGGAGUAAAGUUAAUACCUUUGCUCAUUGACGUUACCCGCAGAAGAAGCACCGGCUAACUCCGUGCCAGCAGCCGCCGUAA